rnacentral:rRNA from 1 species
UACGGAGGGUGCAAACGUUGCUCGGAAUCAUUGGGCGUAAAGCGCACGUAGGCGGCCUGACAAGUCGGGUGUGAAAGCCCUGGGCUCAACCCAGGAAGUGCACUCGAAACUGCCAGGCUUGAAUAUGGAAGAGGGUCGCGGAAUUCCCGGUGUAGAGGUGAAAUUCGUAGAUAUCGGGAGGAACACCAGUGGCGAAGGCGGCGACCUGAGCCAAUAUUGACGCUGAGGUGCGAAAGCGUGGGGAGCAAACAGG